rnacentral:rRNA from 1 species
GAUGAACGCCGGCGGUGUGCCUAAUACAUGCAAGUCGUACGCACUGGCCCAACUGAUUGAUGGUGCUUGCACCUGAUUGACGAUGGAUCACCAGUGAGUGGCGGACGGGUGAGUAACACGUAGGUAACCUGCCCCGGAGCGGGGGAUAACAUUUGGAAACAGAUGCUAAUACCGCAUAACAACAAAAGCCACAUGGCUUUUGUUUGAAAGAUGGCUUUGGCUAUCACUCUGGGAUGGACCUGCGGUGCAUUAGCUAGUUGGUAAGGUAACGGCUUACCAAGGCGAUGAUGCAUAGCCGAGUUGAGAGACUGAUCGGCCACAAUGGAACUGAGACACGGUCCAUACUCCUACGGGAGGCAGCAGUAGGGAAUCUUCCACAAUGGGCGCAAGCCUGAUGGAGCAACACCGCGUGAGUGAAGAAGGGUUUCGGCUCGUAAAGCUCUGUUGUUGGAGAAGAACGUGCGUGAGAGUAACUGUUCACGCAGUGACGGUAUCCAACCAGAAAGUCACGGCUAACUACGUGCCAGCAGCCGCGGUAAUACGUAGGUGGCAAGCGUUAUCCGGAUUUAUUGGGCGUAAAGCGAGCGCAGGCGGUUGCUUAGGUCUGAUGUGAAAGCCUUCGGCUUAACCGAAGAAGUGCAUCGG